GAACGUAUAGCUUAGUGGUUAGAGCGCUUAGACUGUUUUUAAGAGACGCGGUUUCGAUCCCGCUACCUUAA
rnacentral:tRNA from 1 species